GGACUCUUAGCUCAGUUGGCAGAGCAACUGACUCUUAAUCAGUGGGUCUAGGGUUCGAAUCCCUAAGAGUCCACCA
rnacentral:tRNA from 4 species